rnacentral:rRNA from 1 species
GCGAAGCAUCUGCCAGGAUGUUUUCAUUAAUCAAGAACGAAAGUUAGGGGAUCGAAGACGAUCAGAUACCGUCGUAGUCUUAACCAUAAACGAUGCCGACCAGCGAUUAGGAGACGUUGAAUACAAAACACCACCAUCGGUGCGGUCGUCCUUGGCGUCGGUCUUUCGGGGCCGGCGCGGGGGCGGCUUAGCCCGGUGGCACCGGUGAAUGACUCCCCU